AUGCCAUUUUACUCUUCACAGAGGCCUCAAAGCUUUGAAGUUGGGGAAUGGAAUGGACACUCUAAAUGCAGUUUUGUAAUCACUCAUCGAGGUGCAAUGAUGGAAAAAAAAAAAAAAACAGCUAAAGCUGAGACUGCAUUUCAGAGGCGUUCUCUGAGCGCGGGGCUUGGUGCUCUCUCUCGCUCUGUGCCACCAUGGGACUCGGCCAGCACGAACGUCGUCACCAGUGCUCAACCAGUGGGGCCGUCCCAUCCUGAUGUGUGAAACCUCCACAACUGUGAGUCAAAAUAAUCUUCUUUCUAUGAAGCCUGUCUUAGUUAUCUGUUAUAUUAGUAAAAAGCUGGAGAAUACAGACGGAAUGCAAAUGAUAAAGGCAUUGCCUCAACUUGCCUAUGGCAUCAAAGCUUGAUAUAAAUACUCCAUCAUCAUUGCUGUUUCCACCUCCCAAUACUGAACCUAGGAGCAACUAACUCACUCUGUCACUAAGGACAGGCUAACUUCUAGAUCAAAACAAGAGGGUGGUGCAGGCUGCAGAGUGAGUUUUUCUGUUCACCUAGCAGGAGAGCAGACCAAUCCCUUCCAACAGGGCACUCAGGUUUGAAGAAACAGAGCUGCCCUAGACACUUAGAUUCCAAGCUGCUCUGGUCAUCGUGUCCAUGUCAGUCACCCAGGAGAGAGAAAGAGCACAUAGUAGAGUGUAUGCAACUUUGCUUUUUGUAUGGUUUUGUUGUCGAUGUUUUUUGAAAGGGAGGGACUGCAAAAUAGCAAAGUCAAUAUGAUUCACCUGCCUUUACCAACAAUGUAACCAUGCAUGCAUUAGACAAGAAGAGAAUAGGCAUCAGCUGGGAGAUGCACAGACUGGUGCCACGGCUGUGCAGAGAAGUCUUCUCUUACAAGGUGUUUACACUAAAGUAGCAGACCAGGAAAAAAAAUCUUUCUUUAGAUGCAUUUAUAAGGUAGGAGAGAAAGAAAGAAAUUGGACUAUGAAUUUCACAUUAUAUCUUCAAACUAUCAGAGUACUAGUAGGUGGAGACAACCUACUUCAGUUAAAGUCAUUGCUGUCACAUGGAAGCCAACAUUAGCAGUUUGAGACAUGCCUCCCUGACUAAACAUUGUUUAAAGUUUUGUUUUUGAAUUAAUUAAUAUUUACAUAAUACUAAAAACCAUGAAGUGUAUUAAGCAGAAUCCUGCUAUUGUAUUUCAUGCUUUGGUGCAUAAAAUGCUAGAAAAAAAUGUAGCUGUGUGAAUAUUUUAAAAGAGACAAAGUUCCCUUACUGAUAGUAAAAGGAAAAUGCGAUUAUCUUAUUUACUUAAGAGGUCAAUUUAAAUCUAUCAUUGUUAUGCAAGCAUUUUCACCACACACAAAUUCAACUGGGAGUUGGAAAUAUUUUUUGUUUUAAAUAUUAGACAAUCCAUAAACAGUAGCUUAAAAUGUGAUGGAUAUUUUUUUUCUCUAGCAAAACUCACUAUCAUAAGCCAUCAAAGGUUGUUUUAGGAUCCAAGUGACGACCUCAGGGUUUAGCUGUUUUCCAUCUUUCAUCUCAGGAGUCUUUCAAAUCCGAGCCUUUCCCCAGGCUCUCCUCAUGAGUGUGAAAGCUCUGUUGGAACCGGGAUCACCCGGGGUGAUGAAUGUGGUGAAUGGAGUGGGCCGAAAUCUGAAGAAAGGCUUUUCCCUUGAAAGCAGAACCACAGAUUUUACAGGGCAAUUUCUGUGUGACCGAAUUUCCCACAACAUUACAGGGCUGCAAGGUGAGUAUUGUUAGUGAAACUGCAGCCAGAGCUUUGUUAAUAUGGAAUAAAUGGAAAUGACCUGGGGGAAACCUGCA
ensembl:lncRNA